rnacentral:rRNA from 1 species
GCGCACCAGUGCGAAUAGUCUACAAUGGACGAAAGUCUGAUAGUGCGACGCCGUGUGUGCGAUUAAUUCCUUCGGGAUGUAAAGCACUUUUCUAUGAGAUAAAAGCUCUUUAGGUUAAUAGCUUAUUGAGACGGAUAUUAUUAUAGGAAUAAGCUCCGGCUAACUCCGUGCCAGCAGCCGCGGUAAUACGGAAGGAGCGAGCGUUGUCCGGAUUUACUAGGCGUAAAGGGCUAGUAGGCGACUAAUUAAGUUAUAUGUUAAAUCCCACGGCUCAACUGUGGUCCUGCAUGUAAUACUGGUUAGAUAGAGUACUGUAGAGGAAGGCAGAAUUCCUGGAGUAGCGGUGGAAUGCGCAGAUAUCAGGAAGAAUACCAAAAGCGAAGGCAGCCUUCUGGGCAGUUACUGACGCUGAAUAGCGAAGGUGUGGUAGCGAACAGGAUUAGAUACCCUGUAGUCU